rnacentral:lncRNA from 10 species
GAAAUGAAAGCCCGGAAACCCCGGAACUAGAACUGGUAUGGAGUCUCACUCUGUCGCCCAGGCUGGAGUGUAGUAGCGCAAUCUUGGCUCACUGCAACCUCGGACUCCCAGGUUCAAGAGAUUCUCCUGCAUCAGCCUCCCAAGUAGCUGGGACUACAGAUCUCUUCAACUACCUGUGAAAACUGAUGUGAUGAAAAGGGGAAUUUGAAGGAGCCAUUCCAGAAGACAGGGCGAAAACUGAAGUGCAAUCAGGGCCAAGAAAAACAGAAAUAGCAGGACCUGGAGUUGCAUAGGUUGAAUAGUUGAAUAGGCUGCUCUCCUCAGCUGGCAGGAAACCUGGCAGCCUCCUGGUGCCCAAGGACUGAAAACCUUAGAAGCACCUGGAGUUGGCAGCCUUGGCAUGGUCAGGUUGGCACCUCUGGAGGUGCCCAGGCUUCCCUGGCAGCAUUGUGAGCAGUGGAUGGUGUUGAAGGGCAGCCAGAGGAGGAAUGGAACACAUGCUCCUUGCUAACCACACGGACAAGGCCACGUU